UGAAGUGUAUAGAUAGAUACAGAUUAUACAGAGGAAUAAUGAAGACCCAAAUAGGCCUUUUUAUAUCAUUAUCAUGGCUGUCAGGUGUCCUGUCUUCUAACCAACUUGUCCAGUCUGAUCCAGCCGUGAUAAAGCCGGGGAACUCCCAUACACUCACCUGUCAGGGUUCAGGAGGAUUCACAUUUGGCAGCAAUACUAUGCACUGGAUCAGACAGUUCUCUGAUGGAAAGUUACAAUGGUUGUGUUAUAUUAACAGCGGUGGGGGCACAGGCUUUAAUGAUGCUGUUAAAGGGAGAUUCACAACCACUAGAGAUAACAGCAAUAACAAGCUGACUCUGAAAAUGGACACCAUGAAAACAGAAGACACUGCCGUGUAUUACUGUGCAAGAGACACACUGAUGGAAAAUAUAUCUUUCCUAUAACAAUAAGUAGAAUAU